rnacentral:rRNA from 1 species
CCUACGGUAGGCAGCAGUGAGGAAUAUUGGUCAAUGGACGCAAGUCUGAACCAGCCAUGCCGCGUGCAGGAAGACGGCUCUAUGAGUUGUAAACUGCUUUUGUACGAGGGUAAACGCAGAUACGCGUCUCUGUCUGAAAGUAUCGUACGAAUAAGGAUCGGCUAACUCCGUGCCAGCAGCCGAGGUAAUACGGAGGGUUCAAGCGUUAUCCGGAUUUAUUGGGUGUAAAGGGUGCGUAGGCGGUCGGAUAAGUUAGCGGUGAAAUCCCGAGGCUCAACUUCGGAAUUGCCUAUGAUACUGUUCGGCUAGAGAGUAGUUGCGGUAGGCGGAAUGUAUGGUGUAGCGGUGAAAUGCUUAGAGAUCAUACAGAACACCGAUUGCGAAGGCAGCUUACCAAGCUACUUCUGACGUUGAGGCACGAAAGCGUGGGGAGCAAACAGGAUUAGAUACCCUUGUAGUC